rnacentral:rRNA from 1 species
UACCGGAGCCACAAGUGGUGACCACGUUUAUUGGGUCUAAAGCGUCCGUAGCCGGUUUAGUAAGUUUCUUGUGAAAUUGUUGGGCUUAACUCAACAACGGGCAAGAAAUACUACUAGACUUGAGACUGGGAGAGGAUAGAGGUAUUUCAGGGGGAGCGGUAAAAUGUUAUAAUCCCUGAAGGACCACCGAUGGCGAAGGCAUCUAUCCAGAACGGGUCUGACGGUGAGGGACGAAGGCUAGGAGAACGAUAAGGAUUAGAUACCCGCGUA